AUUGAACGCUGGCGGCAGGCCUAACACAUGCAAGUCGAGCGGAGCGGCGGACGGGUAAGUAAUGCCUAGGAAUCUGCCUGGGAGUGGGGGAUAACGUCCGGUAAAGGGCGCUAAUACCGCAUCCUCUCAGAUUAGCAUAGGUCGGAUUAGCUAUUGGGAGGGGGAAAGGCCGACCACGCCGACGAUCCGUAACUGGUCUGAGAGGAUGUUCAGUCACACGGGAACUGAGACACGGUCCAGACUCCUACGGUAGGCAGCAGUGGGGAAUAUUGCACAAUGGGCGCAAGCCUGAUGCAGCCAUGCAGCGUGUAUGAAGAAGGCCUUCGGGUUGUAAAGUACUUUCAGCGAGGAGGCGUUACUCGCAGAAGAAGCACCGGCUAACUCCGUGCCAGCAGCCGCGGUAAUUC
rnacentral:rRNA from 1 species